AGGAGAAAAUAAUCCCAGGUGAAAAGCUGGAGGGAAAGGGGGUGGUGGGGAGGUGUUUGCAAAUUGCUUAUUUAUUGUAAAGUUUCCAUAAAAAUGCCUUUGCUUCAGCCAAGGGACCUCCCUGGGGCCAAAGAUGGACCAUGAAGAUGUCUGUACCAGCAGUGGGUGUGAGUGCUGAUUCUUUUGGGCUGUGUGGUGCCUCUGGCCCCUCAGAAGUCAGGCAAGGCUGAAGGGAGGAGGGAAGCUGCCACAGCUGCAGGUGAGGGCAAUAUUGGCUGUUUCUGCCUGGAGCAGAACUGGAAGAGCAGCUUUCCUCCUGUCUCUCCAUCACUGGGCAGGGUAUUAAAUGAAGCUGCACUAAGCUCUGUCCUCUGUGGGUUGCUGUGUGGUUGUUGUUUUUUCUGGCUUUUUAAUGUAUUUCCAAGUGGUGCAGGGAGGAGCAAGCUGCUGGGUUACAUGAUUUCUGACUGAGCUAUCACAGAAAAGAGCACCUGUGUGUGCACCUGCUUCCUGGCAAAUCCAGAUGUGACAUGGAAAUCCUAAGUGAGGAUUUCCAGCCUUGACUACAGGUGCCACAGGCUUCUGAAAAUGGAACUGACCUUGGCAGAAUAGCAGCUGUGAAGGGAAGCAGAACUGAAAUAGAGCACAGGAAAAAUCCUUACACUCCUCCCAGCUCUGCCAACAGCUGUGGUGUUUGAGCAGCCCAAGCCAAGAGGCUCCAGCACCAGGGUCUGUGCUGAGAGCUCCUGGUCCUGCCCUGCUGUGGGGAAGUCAGAGGGAUGCAGGGCUCCUCUCUUCCUCCCUGCUGGGAGGAGCUGCCCAGGGAAUCUGGGUGAAACUCCAGCUCUCCUGGUGUUCAGGGGUGCAAGGUGUGAGGGACUGUGUUUGCCUGUGGCUUGGCAGGUCAGCAGGAGCAAGAGGAAAUGGGUGCCAGAGCCAUGUCCCACCAGGCUGCAUUUCCCUCUGAGGACAGGGAGGCUGGGCUGAGGUGAGAUUGCCACCAGUGCUGGAUGAGCAAUCCAGGGAACAGGGAAUUGCAGCUGCUGCCAGAACCAUGGCCUUAGGUCUGCUCUGUCUGUGUCUGUGACCAGUGGGAUUUGUGCUGGAGAGAGUGGGGCUGUCAG